UACGAAGGGUGCAAGCGUUACUCGGAAUUACUGGGCGUAAAGCGUGCGUAGGCGGCCUGCUAAGUCGAACGUGAAAUCCCCGAGCUCAACUCGGGAACUGCGUCCGAUACUGGCGGGCUUGAAUCCGGGAGAGGGAUGCGGAAUUCCAGGUGUAGCGGUGAAAUGCGUAGAUAUCUGGAGGAACACCGGUGGCGAAGGCGGCAUCCUGGACCGGCAUUGACGCUGAGGCGCGAAAGCUAGGGGAGCAAACGGG
rnacentral:rRNA from 1 species